AGUGUCGGUCGACGAACGAGUAUUGUUGUCGAUUGUCGAUCAAUGCAGUGGAUUUUUCUUUGCGGAUUGAGCGUUCUAAACGUCCAGGAUCUGAAAAGAGUAGUGUUUGUUCCUUGUUGCUUCUGGUACUAUUGGGCAUGCACCUGAAAGACAAGAAAAAAAUUUAUCAGUCUUUUGCAAGUUAGAAAAACUUAGACUAAACCUAACUAAAUGAGAUCUAAUGGCGAUCGAAGCUCCCCGGCAACGACGCCAAAUUUGAUAUCACUCAAAUUACCCCUAAGGAGUGAUUUGUACUCUCUGAAAUAAGAGGUCGAAUUGUAGUACUUAGGGAUCAAAUUCAUAGGAAGCUAGGGAACACAAAAGAUCUAGUAGUUAUGUGGUUAAGCUAGGCUAACAGGUUUAAAUGUAAAUAGCAGUGGUGUGAGCAAGAUAAAUGCUCGGUUGAUUGAUUGGGGGUUUUAAACAAAUAUGAAAGGUGUUAGACUUAGGGUUUAUAUUCAGUCAAUCAGGAUUAUAGGGAUAUAUAGACUAAGUGUAUGUUCGAUAUUCUAGAACUCAAACUAAAGAAUAUUCGAUCAACUUUCAUAUUUUUAGACUAUCUAUUGCCAGAUAUAAGACCUCAGCUGUUGCUCGUUGGUCCUGAGAAAGUGUCGAUUGAUAACAAUUAUGGAUUGUCGAUCGAUACACCUUUCAGCCCGUCGAUCGAUGCAACUACUGAGUUGUCGAUCGACGUUCCUUCCAGCAAGCUUUACCGCACGGGUUUGACUUGUUCACU
rnacentral:lncRNA from 1 species